rnacentral:rRNA from 1 species
GACGAACGCUGGCGGCGUGCUUAACACAUGCAAGUCGAACGGAAAGGCCCUGCUUUUGUGGGGUGCUCGAGUGGCGAACGGGUGAGUAACACGUGAGUAACCUGCCCUUGACUUUGGGAUAACUUCAGGAAACUGGGGCUAAUACCGGAUAGGAGCUCCUGCUGCAUGGUGGGGGUUGGAAAGUUUCGGCGGUUGGGGAUGGACUCGCGGCUUAUCAGCUUGUUGGUGGGGUAGUGGCUUACCAAGGCUUUGACGGGUAGCCGGCCUGAGAGGGUGACCGGCCACAUUGGGACUGAGAUACGGCCCAGACUCCUACGGGAGGCAGCAGUGGGGAAUAUUGCACAAUGGGCGGAAGCCUGAUGCAGCAACGCCGCGUGCGGGAUGACGGCCUUCGGGUUGUAAACCGCUUUCGCCUGUGACGAAGCGUGAGUGACGGUAAUGGGUAAAGAAGCACCGGCUAACUACGUGCCAGCAGCCGCGGUGAUACGUAGGGUGCGAGCGUUGUCCGGAUUUAUUGGGCGUAAAGGGCUCGUAGGUGGUUGAUCGCGUCGGAAGUGUAAUCUUGGGGCUUAACCCUGAGCGUGCUUUCGAUACGGGUUGACUUGAGGAAGGUAGGGGAGAAUGGAAUUCCUGGUGGAGCGGUGGAAUGCGCAGAUAUCAGGAGGAACACCAGUGGCGAAGGCGGUUCUCUGGGCCUUUCCUGACGCUGAGGAGCGAAAGCGUGGGGAGCGAACAGGCUUAGAUACCCUGGUAGUCCACGCUGUAAACGGUGGGUACUAGGUGUGGGGUCCAUUCCACGGGUUCCGUGCCGUAGCUAACGCUUUAAGUACCCCGCCUGGGGAGUACGGCCGCAAGGCUAAAACUCAAAGGAAUUGACGGGGCCCCGCACAAGCGGCGGAGCAUGCGGAUUAAUUCGAUGCAACGCGUAGAACCUUACCUGGGUUUGACAUGGAUCGGGAGUGCUCAGAGAUGGGUGUGCCUCUUUUGGGGUCGGUUCACAGGUGGUGCAUGGCUGUCGUCAGCUCGUGUCGUGAGAUGUUGGGUUAAGUCCCGCAACGAGCGCAACCCUUGUUCACUGUUGCCAGCACGUUAUGGUGGGGACUCAGUGGAGACCGCCGGGGUCAACUCGGAGGAAGGUGGGGAUGACGUCAAGUCAUCAUGCCCCUUAUGUCCAGGGCUUCACGCAUGCUACAAUGGCUGGUACAGAGAGUGGCGAGCCUGUGAGGGUGAGCGAAUCUCGGAAAGCCGGUCUCAGUUCGGAUUGGGGUCUGCAACUCGACCACAUGAAGUCGGAGUCGCUAGUAAUCGCAGAUCAGCAACGCUGCGGUGAAUACGUUCCCGGG